CUUAGUGGCGGACGGGUGAGUAACGCGUGGGAAUCUACCUAGUAGUGGAGGAUAACUCGGGGAAACUCGAGCUAAUACUGCAUACGCCCUACGGGGGAAAGCGGGGGAUCUUCGGACCUCGCGCUAUUGGAUGAGCCCGCGUUAGAUUAGCUUGUUGGUGAGGUAACGGCUCACCAAGGCGACGAUGCGUAGCCGACCUGAGAGGGUGAUCGGCCACACUGGGACUGAGACACGGCCCAGACUCCUACGGGAGGCAGCAGUGGGGAAUAUU
rnacentral:rRNA from 1 species